AUCCUUUUGUAGUUUAUAAGCCCGAUGUUUGAGUUUUCCCACUCACAUGUGAGAUGUGCCUCCUUCAAACCUUGUUACCAUGUCAGCACAUUACCCAUGAGAUA